GUCGGCAUUUUUAAUCAAAAAUAUUCUAGGUGAAUCGUAAAAGAAUAUGUAUUUGCAAACGAAUCCAGGUCCUAAUUAUUAUGGUUACAUUGUUACUGUCUAAUAAAUUAUUACGUUAUAAUUUUCGUUCGCAUUACAACCUAGUCGGGGUCAUAAUGCUAUUAUAUUUGUUUACAUGCUCUUCGAAUUUUGAGACAUGUCAUUCUAUGAUACUUUAGUUGAGACUUAUCGUUUUAUAAUACUUAAAAAAUAAAAUCUCAUCUGGGUGUAUAUGAGGCUUUCAGAACAAUAACGAACGCAUCCCAUUAUUUUCUUUAUCAUUCCAUAAUUAUUUUUUUUAUCAUCUUGGUCUCAAAAAUGUUUAUAAAUUUAUAAUACAAUUUUAAUGUUGUCACUUAGUGAAUAUAAAGUAACGGUGUGUUGGCUAAACCCGUUAAUGAACUUCAUUCGAUGGUGUAUGUUUGUUAUUAAUGCCG